UUCCCGGCAUGCCCCGGGGCGGCGGGGUUGGCUCUAACGAAUUUGAAUGAGGAGCCUCAGCGCUUUCGGCGCCAUUUUCGAGUGAUGCCUGAGCCCAUCAAUCUAGCGGGAGAGAUGGGAUAACCUGUCCGACAGUAUAUCGCCGACGGGACUCCCACCGAAAAAAAAUCACUAAAAAAACCUCCAAAAAUUACUUCAAGCCAGGGGCAGUUCGCGGAGCUUGGCCAGGGUUGGCGCAGUCGGUUUUGACCUUUAGGAGAGAGCCAGUUCUGGAGAACAACCUAACUUCUUUGAUUGAGCACUCACAUAAUGCACUGGAACAUGUUAGGAGAUUAAGGUUUAUAACGAUAAAAUGAAGACCAUAAUAAAACAGCCUCGUACUUAGUUCAUCAUUUCUUACCUUGCAUAUAUUUUUACACCAUCCACUGAAACUGACUAUACCAUGGGUACCUAAGGCACAUGAAGAAAGGAUUGAGAUUGGAAGCUGUAGACAUUGUCUGUUCUGAGCUGAGUUCCUGACAACAAGACCACUCUAGCAAAGGGCAAUAAAUGCCACUGAGAAUAUCCCUCAACACAAAUCUGCGGUAGCGAGGUGCUGGCCGUGCAGCCGGGCCUGCUCGGUAGCGGAGCAGCCUCCGGGAGGAGACCCACACCGCCCCGGGCCACCCACCGCUCGCCGCCCCUGCCCGCCCCCGGUCCCGGCGCCCCGCAGGUUCCCGCCGCGCUGCUGGACUGGGCUCCCCCGAGCUCCCGGCCAGCCCCUCGCCCCCCGCAGGUGCCUGCCCGGCCGGAACGAGCCCGCACCCCGGCAGCAGCUCUGGCCCACCGCUCCCCGAGAGGAGCGCGGCGGCCGGCACUGAGCUAGGCCCUCCGGGGGAGGAAGGGGCCUGCCUGGGGCCGCGCGGACGCCCGUCUCCCAGCUGCAAAACGGACUCGUGGGGCCUGUCGGGCCCGCCCCGCCGCCCUCCUCCCCCAGCACCUCGGUCCGCCUCCCGGGUCGGGAUUCGCCUUUGUUCC